ACUAUGUUAUAUACUUAUUUAAUCUAUGAUGCAAACGCUGAAAGUGUGAAAUAUCCAUUUUUUACAUACUUUUUUACAUUAAAGGACUACUAAUAAUCGCUCUCUUGUAGUGGAGGAUGAAAGCUUUCUGAAUGAAUAUCCCUAUUUGGAGAGGUUUGCAGAUUGCCCGAAGCGAACAUAUUUAACGAUUUAGGAUUCGUUGUCCGAUGUUGAUAGUUGCAUGUUAUGCCUAAUUUUUGACAUUCGACAUUAGUAUUGGCAUGCCAAAUUUUCCUAUUUAUCUAUGGUGAGUAAUUGAUAUUUAGUAAAUUUGUUCAUUUGGUCGGUCAGUUCUUUAAUGCAGUGUUUGAAUCCAAAUAUUAAGCAAAUGUGGGUGCUACGCUAAGCGUUGAAAGUAGUUCUAUGAGGCUGCAUCGUCAAAAACAGUUUUCGGUAUAUCAGUGUCCUUGUACCUAGCUAUAAAUCAAUUUUUGUGGCUACAAGUCGAGCUUACGGUGCUGAAAUACCUAUCUACAAACAAAAGAUCGAGACUGAUUCCCAUUGUAUCUGCUAGAUUUUGCCAUCAUCAGUGGGUGUGGUUUAAUUAACAAAAACGCUUUUCAAUACCAAAAGUGGUGCAGGUCAAGUGCGUGACGCAAAUUCUCCACUUCAAGAUGAAUCAAUUUGCAAUUUUUGCCGGAAGAUUAUCGGAUUGCCUUGAACGAAUGCAGAUCGUAUGUGUCGUUUCCAUAUACAAUUAUGCACCGUCCCCGUGUGAUGCCAUUCAUCCCGAAUGCGUCUGGAGUGCGGGUACCAGCUAGGGAUGGUUAUGACUCUUCCAGCUACGGCACGCCAACUGCGCUCCAGCAACGAAAGGCCCGCGGGGGCGCCGCUAACCUGGUGUAAGACCAGCACAACUCGGGCCGACGCCAGUGCUAGUGCUAGGGCGGCGCCACGGUCGCAGGUUCGGCGCUCGUGGCACGUCGGCUACGGAGCCCUACACGAGGUGGAGGAAGUGGCCGGAGCACUUAACGGAGCCAGUCGCCGCAUUGAAGAUUGUGCAAAAGGUAAAGCCACUGUUGUAUUUUGCACGUUCCCUUUUUCCCUCGUCUCUAAUUCAUUAUCUAUACUGAAAAUUAUAAACGCCCCGACCCAUAUCGAGUACCUAUAUCCUGGGUCAUUUCGUUUUCUAGACUCCGUCACAGUUAGUUAUUUCACGUCAUGUGCAAUCUUAAUCUCUGUUUUUGACGGAGUAGUAAUCUAAUUUACAAUAUAAGAUCAUUAUCGGAAUUUAAUUUGGAGCGAUUGUUUGAGGCCGAAAGUCGUGUACAGAUAAAACGAUAGUCACAGGUUAAUUUCAUUUUCCUGCCACUGGUGACCCUGCAUGUAGCAAGGGCGGGCUUGUACUAGUGUAUUCCGAGCAAUGUUUUCUUCAACAGAGUUUUCCUAUGGUAGGUCCUUUUAUUUUACAUUUCAUUAGCGCCCCAUACACGGGUAGAUUAUCCGUACAGUUCAGAUACGUAGAGAUUUGAUUCGACAGAUCCAGAUCGGACGA
rnacentral:lncRNA from 1 species